UCUUAUGGAUGAACAAAGCAAGUGGUUUCUUGAAAUGGAAUUUACUGGUGAAGAUGCUGUGAA
rnacentral:pre_miRNA from 4 species